rnacentral:rRNA from 1 species
AUUGAACGCUGGCGGCAUGCCUAACACAUGCAAGUCGAACGAGUGGCGGACUGGUGAGUAAUGUCUUGGAAACUGCCCGAUGGAGGGGGAUAACUACUGGAAACGGUAGCUAAUACCGCAUACCAUCGGAUGUGCCCAGAUGGGAUUAGCUAGUAGGUGGGGUAAAGGCUCACCUAGGCGACGAUCCAUAGCUGGUCUGCGAGGAUGACCAGCCACACUGGAACUGAGACACGGUCCAGACUCCGACGGGAGGCAGCAGGGGGGAAUAUUGGACAAUGGGCGCAAGCCUGAUGCAGCAAUGCCGCGUGUAUGAAGAAGGCCUUCGGGUUGUAAAGUACUUUCAGCGGGGAGGCGUUAGCCGCAGAAGAAGCAACGGCUAACUCCGUGCCAGCAGCCGCGGUAAUUC